rnacentral:lncRNA from 1 species
AUAUACCUAUUUCAAUGAUCCUCUUUCUUCUAGAUGUGUCUUUUCUCUGUGUAAACAUGUCAGCAUACUGGAUUUUUUUCUCAAUCUGAAUGUCUCUCUGGCCAUAUUGAAGAAUGUGCUUACUGUACUGUUUCAUUAAACUGCUGUGUUAUCAGAAAAUGAUGUGUGUAGAACUGACUGCGUUUUUGGACAUGCAGAGGGUGGAAUCAUUGCACAUCCCAUAUAUAAAAAUUUCACAGCACAAAUUCUAAUGAUACCUAUUGUUAUUAAAUGAAUUUUAAGAAGAUUAUAAAAACUCAUUUUUCAUUACCGCAGAAGUUAUAAAUGCCUUAUCUGAAAAAUAAUCAAUGUCAGGUAUAGCUUAUCAAGCUUGGGAGUUCCUCUCUAAACUCCUUACUCUUCGC